UUGAUGGUCCUUUAAACCCCUAGAGCACACCCUUUCUACCAAACCUCUCUGAAACAAAGAGAGAGAUCUAUAGGCAUCUACAUAGGAAUCAGGCUGCCGCCACAGAAAACAUGUCACGUGGUGGAGACUCAAUGUGAUGCUGGAAAAUAGAGCCCCAGAGGAAGUAUGGAUCCAAGAUGGAGAAUUUCUGCUUUAGUGGGCACCAUUACUGAUGGAAGUGGAUAAAAUUCUUUAAGGGAAUGGAACAGAAAAACAGAUUGUGAAUUGCUGGCACGAUUCAGAAGCACCUAAGGAUAAAGAAGGAAUCAUGAGGACAUGACACGAUUUACUUUUAAUAAAAAGUCAGACCAAA